rnacentral:rRNA from 1 species
UACAGAGGUCCCGAGCGUUAUCCGGAUUCACUGGGUUUAAAGGGUGCGUAGGCGGGCAGGUAAGUCCGUGGUGAAAUCUCCAAGCUUAACUUGGAAACUGCCGUGGAUACUAUUUGUCUUGAAUAUAGUGGAGGUGAGCGGAAUAUGUCAUGUAGCGGUGAAAUGCUUAGAUAUGACAUAGAACACCCAUUGCGAAGGCAGCUCGCUACACUAUUAUUGACGCUGAGGCACGAAAGCGUGGGGAUCAAACAGG